rnacentral:rRNA from 1 species
AAAUUGAAGAGUUUGAUCAUGGCUCAGAUUGAACGCUGGCGGCAGGCCUAACACAUGCAAGUCGAGCGGCAGCGGGAAAGUAGCUUGCUACUUUUGCCGGCGAGCGGCGGACGGGUGAGUAAUGCCUGGGGAUCUGCCCAGUCGAGGGGGAUAACAGUUGGAAACGACUGCUAAUACCGCAUACGCCCUACGGGGGAAAGGAGGGGACCUUCGG